UGUAUGCUAGCAUGAUUAAGUUGCUUUGGAUAAAAGCGUCUGCUAAAUGACAUACU
rfam:Salmo salar isolate Sally breed double haploid chromosome ssa03, whole genome shotgun sequence.